AAGGCUUACUGCGGUUGGAUGUCUUCAGAGGUAGCUGUGCCGCUAUGCACAUAACGUCAAACGGCAACAGAAGUCAUUAUGCUUGGGUUUAAGCUUCACCAACUUGUCUUUAUCACAUGUUGCUGUGAUUGGGUGAUUCCCCAAUUGAGUUAACAAGCACCGGAACGGGGAUACCUAAAAAGUGCCUGAAAACACCUCGUUGCUGCCAGUUUCCUUCCUGUGCUUCUGCCAGCUGUCUGACACUGUUGGACACAGUGCCUUGAGUUUCAUAACAGUACGUAAACCUCCAACACAUCAAUGCAUGUUGUAUAUUUUGGCCAGCUGGACAUUUUUAUCCAUACACAGAUAUUUCCAUUACAGAAGUUUUAUGUUGGUACUUUGGCUAAUCAGUUUUGCAUUUUCUGCCUCCUCAUUCUAGAACGCUUUACAGCAAGACCACAAACUCUGAAAUCAAAGCACUGUCUGAGAUAUUAAGCACCUUUUAAAGACCCUCAGAUAAUGGAGACUUGUUGUUGCUUUUAGUGUUUUUGGUAUCCGUUGUCUUAUUUGUGUUGCAUUAGUUUUGUUUUAGUGUUAUUUGUGUGAACAGGUUCCAGUUGAAAAUUAUAUUGAUUGUGUUCUCAGUGAGGCUAACCUGUACAAAAAAAAAAGAUUUACAGUAGUCAGAUAUUUAUAGUUGCUGUUCUUGCUUUGUUUCAGAUAUUAUGGCAAAAAUUACUGUGUUAAUUAUCUGGGGUAAAUGGUGACCACAUGAUAAGACAAGAUCAAUGGUUGAUAAAUAGAAACUUGAACUCAAUGGCAAUCAGGAAUUGUAAAAAGCUACUUUUCUAACCUUCCACAUUUCUGACCAAGACUAAUGAAAUCUAA